CUGACUGUUUUGGCUAAGAUCAAGUGUAGUAUCUGUUCUUAUCAGUUUAAUUUCUGAUACGUCCCCUACCCGGGGACCAUAUAUUAAAUUGAUUUUUGGAGCACAGAGAUGGAAUAGGAGCUUGCUCCCUCCACUCCACUAGAGAUGGCGAAAUCGAAGCCUCAUGAAUCACUGAGCAACU
rnacentral:snRNA from 1 species